AUUGAACGCUGGCGGCAGGCUUAACACAUGCAAGUCGAGCGGAAACGAGAAAUAGCUUGCUAUUUCGGCGUCGAGCGGCGGACGGGUGAGUAAUGCUUGGGAAUAUGCCUUUGAGUGGGGGACAACAGUUGGAAACGACUGCUAAUACCGCAUAACGUCUACGGACCAAAGGGGGGGAUGCUUCGGCACCUCUCGCUCAUAGAUUAGCCCAAGUGAGAUUAGCUAGUUGGUAAGGUAAGAGCUUACCAAGGCGACGAUCUCUAGCUGGUUUGAGAGGAUGAUCAGCCACACUGGGACUGAGACACGGCCCAGACUCCUACGGGAGGCAGCAGUGGGGAAUAUUGCACAAUGGGGGAAACCCUGAUGCAGCCAUGCCGCGUGUGUGAAGAAGGCCUUCGGGUUGUAAAGCACUUUCAGUUGUGAGGAAAGGGAUGUAGUUAAUAGCUGCAUUCUGUGACGUUAGCAACAGAAGAAGGACCGGCUAACUCCGUGCCAGCAGCCGCGGUAAUACGGAGGGUCCGAGCGCUAAUCGGAAUUACUGGGCGUAAAGCGUGCGUAGGCGGUUUGUUAAGCGAGAUGUGAAAUCCCGGGGCUCAACCUCGGAACUGCAUUUCGAACUGGCAGGCUAGAAUACUGUAGAGGGGGGUAGAAUUUCA
rnacentral:rRNA from 1 species